ACUAAAAACACCUUUAAUUAUAUAAAAAUUCCCUAAGAAGAAAGGAAUGAAGAAGGAACUUGAGCAUAUCCCAUCGUUUAAUCUACAACGAGGAUGUUAAUUUUGUUUAUUUAUUGUUCGUUAAGGGGUCAAAAAAUCUCAGGAAAAAAUAAUGUUUCUUAGAGUCAUUAUGAAAGACGUAAUUGGGUUAAGG